rnacentral:rRNA from 1 species
GGUUAAGCGACUAAGCGUACACGGUGGAUGCCCCGGCAGUCAGAGGCGAUGAAGGGCGUGCUAAUCUGCGAUAAGCGCCGGUAAGGUGAUAUGAACCGUUAUAACCGGCGAUACCCGAAUGGGGAAACCCAGUGUGAUUCGUCACACUAUCAUUAACUGAAUCCAUAGGUUAAUGAGGCGAACCGGGGAACUGAAACAUCUAAGUACCCCGAGGAAAAGAAAUCAACCGAGAUUCCCCAGUAGCGGCGAGCGAACGGGGAGGAGCCCAGAGCCUGAAUCAGCAUGUGUGUUAGUGGAAGCGUCUGGAAAGGCGCGCGAUACAGGGUGACAGCCCCGUACACAAAAGCGCAUGUGCUGUGAGCUCGAUGAGUAGGGCGGGACACGUGGUAUCCUGUCUGAAUAUGGGGGACCAUCCUCCAAGGCUAAAUACUCCUGACUGACCGAUAGUGAACCAGUACCGUGAGGGAAAGGCGAAAAGAACCCCGGCGAGGGGAGUGAAAAGAACCUGAAACCGUGUACGUACAAGCAGUGGGAGCACAGGUUUACCUGUGUGACUGCGUACCUUUGUAUAAUGGGUCAGCGACUUAUAUUCUGUAGCAAGGUUAACCGUAUAGGGAGCCGUAGGGAAACCGAGUCUUAACCGGGCGUUAAGUUGCAGGGUAUAGACCCGAAACCCGGUGAUCUAGCCAUGGGCAGGUUGAAGGUUGGGUAACACUAACUGGAGGACCGAACCGACUAAUGUUGAAAAAUUAGCGGAUGACCUGUGGCUGGGGGUGAAAGGCCAAUCAAACCGGGAGAUAGCUGGUUCUCCCGAAAGCUAUUUAGGUAGCGCCUCGUGAAUUCAUCUCCGGGGUAGAGCACUGUUUCGGCUAGGGGGCCAUCCCGGCUUACCAACCCGAUGCAAACUGCGAAUACCGGAGAAUGUUAUCACGGGAGACACACGGCGGGUGCUAACGUCCGUCGUGAAGAGGGAAACAACCCAGACCGCCAGCUAAGGUCCCAAAGUCAUGGUUAAGUGGGAAACGAUGUGGGAAGGCCCAGACAGCCGUGAUGUUGGCUUAGAAGCAGCCAUCAUUUAAAGAAAGCGUAAUAGCUCACUGGUCGAGUCGGCCUGCGCGGAAGAUGUAACGGGCUAAACCAUGCACCGAAGCUGCGGCAGCGACACUGUGUGUUGUUGGGUAGGGGAGCGUUCUGUAAGCCUGUGAAGGUGGCCUGUGAGGGUUGCUGGAGGUAUCAGAAGUGCGAAUGCUGACAUAAGUAACGAUAAAGCGGGUGAAAAGCCCGCUCGCCGGAAGACCAAGGGUUCCUGUCCAACGUUAAUCGGGGCAGGGUGAGUCGACCCUAAGGCGAGGCCGAAAGGCGUAGUCGAUGGGAAACGGGUUAAUAUUCCCGUACUUGGUGUUACUGCGAAGGGGGACGGAGAAGGCUAUGUUGGCCGGGCGACGGUUGUCCCGGUUUAAGCGUGUAGGUGUGUGUUCCGGUAAAUCCGGUUCACUUUAACACUGAGGCGUGACGACGAGGCACUACGGUGCUGAAGCAACAAAUGCCCUGCUUCCGGAAAAGCCUCUAAGCAUCAGGUAACAUCAAAUCGUACCCCAAACCGACACAGGUGGUCAGGUAGAGAAUACCAAGGCGCUUGAGAGAACUCGGGUGAAGGAACUAGGCAAAAUGGUGCCGUAACUUCGGGAGAAGGCACGCUGACACGUAGGUGAAGUGAUUUACUCAUGGAGCUGAAGUCAGUCGAAGAUACCAGCUGGCUGCAACUGUUUAUUAAAAACACAGCACUGUGCAAACACGAAAGUGGACGUAUACGGUGUGACGCCUGCCCGGUGCCGGAAGGUUAAUUGAUGGGGUCAGCGCAAGCGAAGCUCCUGAUCGAAGCCCCGGUAAACGGCGGCCGUAACUAUAACGGUCCUAAGGUAGCGAAAUUCCUUGUCGGGUAAGUUCCGACCUGCACGAAUGGCGUAAUGAUGGCGGGCUGUCUCCACCCGAGACUCAGUGAAAUUGAACUCGCUGUGAAGAUGCAGUGUACCCGCGGCAAGACGGAAAGACCCCGUGAACCUUUACUAUAGCUUGACACUGAACAUUGAGCCUUGAUGUGUAGGAUAGGUGGGAGGCUUUGAAGCGUGGACGCCAGUCUGCGUGGAGCCAACCUUGAAAUACCACCCUUUAAUGUUUGAUGUUCUAACGUGGACCCGUAAUCCGGGUUGCGGACAGUGUCUGGUGGGUAGUUUGACUGGGGCGGUCUCCUCCUAAAGAGUAACGGAGGAGCACGAAGGUUGGCUAAUCCCGGUCGGACAUCAGGAGGUUAGUGCAAUGGCAUAAGCCAGCUUGACUGCGAGCGUGACGGCGCGAGCAGGUGCGAAAGCAGGUCAUAGUGAUCCGGUGGUUCUGAAUGGAAGGGCCAUCGCUCAACGGAUAAAAGGUACUCCGGGGAUAACAGGCUGAUACCGCCCAAGAGUUCAUAUCGACGGCGGUGUUUGGCACCUCGAUGUCGGCUCAUCACAUCCUGGGGCUGAAGUAGGUCCCAAGGGUAUGGCUGUUCGCCAUUUAAAGUGGUACGCGAGCUGGGUUUAGAACGUCGUGAGACAGUUCGGUCCCUAUCUGCCGUGGGCGCUGGAGAACUGAGGGGGCUGCUCCUAGUACGAGAGGACCGGAGUGGACGCAUCACUGGUGUUCGGGUUGUCAUGCCAAUGGCACUGCCCGGUAGCUAAAUGCGGAAGAGAUAAGUGCUGAAAGCAUCUAAGCACGAAACUUGCCCCGAGAUGAGUUCUCCUGAGACUUAGAGUCUCCUGAAGGAACGUUGAAGACGACGACGUUGAUAGGCCGGGUGUGUAAGCGCAGCGAUGCGUUGAGCUAACCGGUACUAAUGAACCGUGAGGCUUAACCUU